rnacentral:rRNA from 1 species
UGGGGAAUAUUGCACAAUGGGCGCAAGCCUGAUGCAGCCAUGCCGCGUGUGUGAAGAAGGCCUUCGGGUUGUAAAGCACUUUCAGCGGGGAGGAAGGCGUUAAGGUUAAUAACCUUGGCGAUUGACGUUACCCGCAGAAGAAGCACCGGCUAACUCCGUGCCAGCAGCCGCGGUAAUACGGAGUGUGCAAGCGUUAAUCGGAAUUACUGGGCGUAAAGCGCACGCAGGCGGUCUGUCAAGUCGGAUGUGAAAUCCCCGGGCUCAACCUGGGAACUGCAUUCGAAACUGGCAGGCUAGAGUCUUGUAGAGGGGGGUAGAAUUCCAGGUGUAGCGGUGAAAUGCGUAGAGAUCUGGAGGAAUACCGGUGGCGAAGGCGGCCCCCUGGACAAAGACUGACGCUCAGGUGCGAAAGCGUGGGGAGCAAACAGG